UUAUUUACUUCUCCUGGCUUAACCUGGUCAUAAUGUUGUGGCUGAUGUGUGCAUUUGCGAUCGUUUCCUUUCACUUACCCUAAUCGUUUUCGGUUCACGCGUUCUCGUGCGCUUAAGAAUAGGGAGCACGGAUCGAUUAAGUUGGCAUGAGAGAGAGAGCAACUUUGAAAGAACAAAAAAUGGAACGACGCAAAGUAUGUAAAUAAGAAAACUAAGUCAUAAACGUAUCAACUGUCCGAACUGUCCGUGGAUUAUGUGAACGUGACCGUGAGAGCGAAGAGACUAAAGUGCAAGUGCAACUGGAGAUAGAGGAGAGUACAUAUUUGCGUGUUAUUGCAGAGGCAGUGUGGGUAAUGCCAUGGAUGGGUCAUUUCUACACUUAUUCGGUCAAUGUUGGUUAUGAAAUAUAUUCGCCUACAAAUCCACUCUGAGCUACAGCUGCCCACGGGAGUGAAAGACGUAGUGUAACCUCCUUCUCUGGAGGACAACUCCCCAUUUCACAUCCCACUGCAGGAAGGGGUUGGGCAGAUUUGCCUUGUUAUUGAGGAAGAGACCUAGUUUUAGAUCAGAGUGCCAACACAGACAACAACAGCUUGGUUCUGGGCUCUACGACACCGAGGCUGCAGUUUGACCCGGCACAGCGGGUCUCUAAACCUGAGAGAAAUGGUGUGACUGAUCGUUAACGCCUGUAGGUACGUGGCGCGGAAGGUUCGGGCUGCAGUGAGAGGAGAGGCCCAGCCAGACAGCAAAAGCCCCACAGGAUGACAACAGGCAAGAGCGAGAAAAGAUGGAAGAAUGAGCGCUAAACCCGCCCCCAUUCCCCAUCCAACACGUGAAGUAGAGCCGUUGCAGACUGAAGAGUGCAGGUCCUGAAAGUAAACCGAAAGCUGGAGGGCAGAGUGGGAGCGACUAGAGGACAGACACAUAAAAACCUCAUCCUUAUUUACCGCAAUAUCAGCCGACUAAAUCUGGUUAUCUAUGUUCCCAUCUCAGUUUCACUCUGACACACACAGACGCAUCCAUUAUGAAAACCCAGACAAAUUAACCCUCCCUUGUGUUGAGCUCUCACCUGCUUCCAGCUUUCGGUAUUCUUUCUGACUCAUCCUUCAUCCAGCGCCGCGACCGGCUGGAGUUAGCAGACAGAAUGAAAGCCUGAUCACCAAUUCCCUAUCUGAGGAACUGAUCAGUCUGGAUGAAUAUUGAAGACUGCUGAUGACGCCGUGUCAAAUCAUACACUCAUGUACACUCAGGAUUGUACUUUCUUCUGAAUGUCAAGUUAAUAAAUUUAAGUAAAAGAUGAA